UAAUGCCUAGGAAUCUGCCUGGUAGUGGGGGAUAACGUCCGGAAACGGGCGCUAAUACCGCAUACGUCCUGAGGGAGAAAGUGGGGGAUCUUCGGACCUCACGCUAUCAGAUGAGCCUAGGUCGGAUUAGCUAGUUGGUGGGGUAAAGGCCUACCAAGGCGACGAUCCGUAACUGGUCUGAGAGGAUGAUCAGUCACACUGGAACUGAGACACGGUCCAGACUCCUACGGGAGGCAGCAGUGGGGAAUAUUGGACAAUGGGCGAAAGCCUGAUCCAGCCAUGCCGCGUGUGUGAAGAAGGUCUUCGGAUUGUAAAGCACUUUAAGUUGGGAGGAAGGGCAGUAAGUUAAUACCUUGCUGUUUUGACGUUACCAACAGAAUAAGCACCGGCUAACUUCGUGCCAGCAGCCGCGGUAAUACGAAGGGUGCAAGCGUUAAUCGGAAUUACUGGGCGUAAAGCGCGCGUAGGUGGUUCAGCAAGUUGGAUGUGAAAUCCCCGGGCUCAACCUGGGAACUGCCCAACUACUGAGCUAGAGUACGGUAGAGGGGUGGAAUUUCCUGGUACUAU
rnacentral:rRNA from 1 species